rnacentral:lncRNA from 1 species
GGAGGUCCACGUAUAAAAUUUGUCCGAACCCCCUAUCCCUCACUCAUCUCCCUCACAACCCCUCUCCUCAGACCCUAAAUGAUAGCCGCCCAGUGAUUCCCUCACCACCGGUGGCGGCGCCACCACAAAACAACCUCAAACUAACCCCAAUUAGUCCCUCCAUUCCCUCAGUCCAAGUCUGCAAUUACCUUCCCGCGAAACUCCUUGGAGUGUCUCAAAUCCAGAUUUAAAAGGGAAACCCUAACGCCGCCCUUGUGCUCUCCGGUGGCGGCGCCGUCUCUGUUCAACCCCAAAGUCACACCCCUUCUCCCCUUUCUCCCCCUCAUCCCAAAUCCCCAUUUGUUUUCCCUCGAAUACCUUUCAAAUGGCUCGAAUCUUGAAUCAAAGAAAAUCCCUAAUUCCAUGAUUUCAAAAUCGAUGGGUCUUUUGAGAUUUUGAAACUGUACUGGAUCUUAUGCAUGUGUUUUCACAUGAAAACACAAGUUUAAGGUCCACUUCGGUCGAAAAAUCAAGGGUUCGGAGAUGGUUCAAGUUUAUUUUGGCCCGUCCAAUCUAGGUACCUUUCAGCUUUUUUCUUCUUCUGUUUGUUUUUAUUGGCAUCUUAUCCACUACAUGUUUGAUAUUAUUUUUUUGUGUUUUCAUUAUCCAUUAACAUCUUCUAUUAAUUCUGUUGGCAUGAUUAACUUAUCAAUGAAUUUAGCCUAAUUAGUUUUGUUAAUCGGUUCUGUUCUUCUUCUGUUAUGGAUAGUUUCAUGUUUUUAAAGAAGAUUGUCGGGUUCUUCCUUUUUCUGUCGAGGAAAUUGGAUCAAGUUUUCUGUUUCAAGUGGGGAAUUUAUGAGAUCAAAAAGCCCAAAUUGAACAUUGAACUCUAGCCAGUUCAUUAAACCAUGAUUUGAUAUUGCUUGGGUCAAUUUGACCCAGUCUGGUUCGGAAAGGUAAAAAUACAGGGCCACUUAGGGGUAAAUUUGGUAGACUACUUAGAGAAUAUUUUAUUAAAUGCUUAAUGAAGCUCCUAGAAGCUUCUUGUAGGGGUUUGGCUUUUAAUUUUCAUACUAUGACUUGGUUAAUAAGUCAUAAAAUAAGGGACCAAAGAGAUAAAUGAAAUCUGUAGGUUGCCCUAGUGUUUAGCCUAUAAAAGCAAAAAAACUAAAGCAAAAGGAGGGAUCUUUUUUUUAAAAAAAAAAUACAAAAAUUGUAGUCUACUGUUGCAUUGAAUUCGAGUGAUUUGAAUGAUUAGGAUGUGGGUUUCAAGUUUUAUUUCAUUCCAUUCUGGGUUUAAAAACCCGAAUUCAAGUCUAUUGAGAAAUUUUGGGUUGAAGUUGCUUGAUCUUGGUUUAUUGUUCCACUGGAUGAACAGGCGCUGACUUUUACUUCUUAUAGCUGACCUCUCAUUUUGUCAUUUUUGCUUCUCAGGUAUUCCUCUAUUCAUGAGUAACAAGUGAAUGCUAGCUAUGUGAUUCGAUGGAAAUUUGAUAGAAUACAAGUUGCACUUAUUUAAUUUUCUGUUUUUUCUAUUGUGUUCCAUACGUUGUAGUAGUUCCCUAGCUAUAAUUGUCAAUCAAAAUUCUCCCUUCAUUAUUAGUGCAUUCUGAAUCUAUAUGUGAGGGGGGGAUAUUCUGAAUCUAUAUGCGUGAGUAGGAUUAAAAUCUGGGUUUGUAAUGAUAAAUGAACUAUGAACUUUGGCACAUCCAGUUUUAUUUUGGUUUAAUGGUGUGGAUUACUAACUUACAUAGAUCCUGUUUUGGUAAGCAUGUGUACUCAUGAGCUUCAAAUUUUAGACCUAUGUUCAUUCAUUAGGUAGUUGAUUUUAUAAUUAGGAAU